rnacentral:lncRNA from 1 species
UAGUUGGAGGUUAAAGAUGUGUAUGCCACAUUGGUUUUCCAAGACAAGGGCCGGCAAGCAUUUUCUCUAGGCUCUUGUGUUCAUUUGCCCUUUUCAUGCUGUACAAGGCAGAGUGUAAGCACGAUGAGCAAGAACCAGAGUGGCGGCAGUUCCAGUUAGAAAUGGGCUUAGAGUUGGAGGAGGAUGAGGAGGCACAGGAUGAGGAGGCCGUUUUUCUGGACCUGGAGUUUCCACAUGAUGGCAUUGAUCAACCUACUAACGAUGUCACCUCCUCUGAGGAGGGCUUGAUUGGCAUUCCGAUCCUGGAUGUGCGUACACUAAAAUUGGGAACUGAUGUGAAGCACCACGACCUGCUAUGUAAAGCUGGUCAGUAUCUGAAAUCUGCGUUAAGAUCUGGUACAGGUUUUCAUGUACGUGGAUCACUGCCAGCUUAGGGAAGCAAGCAAGACCUCCAACAUAUCUUCAUGUAUGUACCAGUUUCUAGUUUCGUGUUUUGAAAUCAAUUUCUGUUUGUUUUCUGUAUGCCAUGGACAUGAGGGAAUGGCGAUAUGCCAUUUCUGAGAUCGAUGGAUAUGUGCCGGUCAAGGGAAACCAGCUGGUUGAAGCUUCUCUGCAUUCGUUCCCUGACUCACCCAGAGAGCCGAUAUCGGAAGAGGCCUUCACCAAGCAGGAGGUUCGGGAUAAGUUUGCAGCCUGGAGAGCAUCCUUGUUAUCAAAGGACCUUACGAUUCCGGAUGGGUUGCACCCUGUUGGCCGGUUGUACUACUGCUCCAAGGUGAGUUUUUGUCGUGUGUUUAAAGUCUUUUGCCUUGAACGUGCCAAGGUGAGUUUUGUUCGUGUGUUUAGAGUCUGUUGCUUUGAACAGGCAUGGGGGAUGCCGAGCUUUGAAAGCGGCUUUGCAGCCAUCUCAGUGGGAGAGCUCAAGUUGUACUCGGGUAUCCUGAUUGGCCAGCGAGUGCGGCGCUGGACUCCAAGGAAAGUUUGGCAGUUCGCACCUGAUGGUGGGCAUGUGCCAUGCUGAGGCCCCAUGGAUUAACGUAGCUUUUGACCUUUGUUCCUUCCGCUUGACAAGCUUUUCCUUCUCUUAGGUGUGAAGUGAGUGUGUCAACUUAGACUUCUAACUACAACCUGUAAUAUCUUAGAAUCAUUGUCUUUAGCCAGAGCGUGUUUCUACAUUGUUUGGAUCCCAUAUUGUUCUGCAAAAAUUACAAAAAGAUUCACGUAAACUACGCAUUUUCAAAUGAUGCUUUGUUCUCCGAACGAAUGUCCUAUGCCCGUUCUAUUUCUAUGCGUGCAUUUGCCGGAAGGGGCAGCGCAAGCCUCCAUCGUAGUAUGGUCCAAGCUUGCCUGAUUUCAGCGCUCCCAGCUCCGCCAGCUUGUAUCCCUUCUCAAAUGCCGGUGGCCGAUACACAUUCACGUUGAGCUGCCGGUACUCUUCCGGAUUGGCAGCGGGAUUAGGACACCAGUCCACCUCAAUGCUGCCCUUUGCAUCCUCCACACGCCUGGGAGGCAAGAACGCGGACACGAAGCUCCCGGCCAGCAGCUUGAACGCACCCAAGAUGAUCCACUCCACAAUUGCUGGAGGCUUUUCCAAUCCAACAGCGCUCCUGAUUGUGGGAUCGAUGAGUGCACAGAUCCCAGUCUCGACCAGCGGCUGCACGGGGCGAGGAAAUGCAUCCAGCACCAGAUGCUUGAGAUCCUGGACGAUGCUCUUGUUCUUGUCCGUCAAGAUGGCGUUCUUGGCCUCGUAAUCGCGAAUGUACUCCCGCAUCUCUGGAAUGCUAUCUGGGAUGGUUGUGAUGCCCAUCCUCACGCCCACGUCGUGCCACACAACAUACGCGGCCUCCUUCUCGUUGUCGGUCCACUUGCGGAAUCCAAAUCUCUCGGAGAAAUCAAUGGGGCUGACCACGUUGAGGCAGAGGACGUAGGCGAAUUGGUCGUUUGGGAUCUUGAAUUUGUUGUGGAUUCCAUUCAAUCUCCUCACCGCGUAUGAGCCGCGAUCACUGUCGACGUGGUGGUGGAUCAUCUCGCUCACCAGAAUGUUGGUCUCGGCGGCGCGCUUCUGCGGAUCCUUGAGGCCGUACUUGGUCUUGAAGAGCAGAUUUGUGAUCCCCGGGAUGCCGAGCGUGCGGAUUGUGCCAAACUCGAGCGCCUUUUGCGAGAGGAAGGGGAAUUCCACCGAGUACAUGUACCACAAGAUCUUGUGUGCGUCUCUCACGGGGUGGAGCGACGCUAGAAAUCGUGCCCUCUCUUCUCUCUUGCGGAUACACACCAUCUUCCAUGCUGCAGCCAUCACGAGAAACGCAAUCAUCAACACGAUUGCAGCCAUUUCGAAAUGGUGAAAACUGUUUGAUCGAUCUGAUCAACUUGAUUGGAGAAUGUUUUCUACUCCUCUGUGGGUUGAGGAAACAGAGGCUGGAGAAGGGUCUUUUAUACUAUCAGAGCUAUUAGAGAUCACAUUUCACGUUUUUUAUUUCUGUGUGAUCCGUAUUCUGUACGUUACACACAUAGCCACAUACUUGGAGAGAAAUCUUGUUGUUUUAUACGCUGCACGUUUUCCACACAGUUAUCUGUCCAUGCAAUUUAUCGGUCCUACCAACUUGAACGUUUCACGUUUAGAACUGGAUUCUGUGUCCUUUAUUACAGAUUUCACAAAAGAUGCAGUAGAAACCAUAUUUAAAUUAGUAUAUUCGUAAUGUACCAAAGUUUUUUUGGUUGUUUCUCUUAAACUAGUAUACAGUUUAAUCUAGCAUAAUUUCAAGAAAUACCAUAUAAUACAAUAUGGUUUCUCGGUUUAUUCAUAUGUAUAAGAGAUUUAAAUAAAUAAUGUAUUUUUAUUGUAAUGAAUAAUGUAGAAUUUGGUCAACUUCAUUUUCUUUUAUAUUAUUUAUUUUUCACUUUAAAGUCAUGGUUAUUAUAGAUCAACUUCUAUGCAUUUGGUGUAAAGCUCUUGGAGCAGCCAUGCCGGAUGGAUGACAUCACUGGCAGCUAGAUCCAUGGAGUGGGCUGCUUGAGGGUGAAGCUCGAUUCAGGCCUGGCCGCCCAUCAAGAAGGCUGUUGACCUGGACAUUAGGUAACUGUGACUUGAUGUGACUUGGCAGCUUCUUACUACCACGAGGGUCUCUUGAAGCUUAACAGCACAAGCUUGGUUAAGAGUAAUUGCAACAGUAAUGUUGCCCCAAAACAUGGCAAGCGCAUGGUCAGGGGUAUACUAAGCUAGGAGCAAACGGUUCAUACUCUUUCUAAUAAAUUGGAAUUGCCAUAUCUUAUCAUAAAUCGGAAAGUCAUAAUAGAAAAAACCUUAUAGUUUGCUUCCUUGCUUUCCACGUUGACAGCUCUAACAUCUCUUUUUUAAUAUAUAUGCUUGGUGUAGCAAUUGCCUUUUGAUUCAACGGUAAGCAGCAGCUUGUUCAGCUUCUCCAAUUUGGUGAGAAUCUUGGUGAGUGCACUAAGGAGAUGCAUUAGGCUGCAAUAUUGUUGCUGCUACUCUUUGGAUUGUUCAGAUCAUUCUUCUACAACAGCAGUGGCUGCCUCCAUGCAAUGUGUCAAUAUUAGUACAUGCAUUGGGCCUAUUUACCAUAUGUUUAUUAGGCUUUCAACAUUCCAAAAGUUCUUCUUUGUUUCUGUCUGUUGUCUUCAAGUGAUGAUGCAGUUGACUACAUUUCUAGCACAUCACAGGUUUAGGAGGUUCACAAUAGCAAGUCUCAUUCAUUAGAUCAAACUCUUGACGAUGUAUGUAACAAGUUCUUGAACUUACUGUAGCGCACGUGGUUUUUACCCUUUAUCCUAUGGUGAUUUACCAAAGGAUAACACUACGAAGCGAAACCUAAACCCUCUUUGUGCCACGUGACAAGAUGCCAUGUGUCACAUGCCACGUGUCCAAAGGACAGUGGUGUGGAAUCCGAGUUUCAGGGCCUUAGGCCACUGAACAAAGGAACGGUGCCAAACCCCCAAGCAUGGAGCCAAGGAGUGAUGGAACUGGCCCACAGAGCAACUCUCUAGUAUAUAGCCUAAGGAGCGAAGGAACAGGAGCCCGGAGCGACUUGGAACAGUCCUAGAGCAACUAACAUCCCAAUGGCAGGACCAGCAUGCAAAAUGGAGCCAAACGGAGUCUGGCGCUAUUUCAACAUACCGGUGGCCUAACACAAGGACAUGGGUACUCCACCAGCUAGCAUGGAAUGGAACUUGGGCUUAGACACAAGUCGGACGCAGAACAAAGACAAGCACGCAAGCAGGAGCUAGACUAUGCCUCAGGUUUGUCAGCCAUGCCCGACCUACCCACUAUCCCUACUAUACAUUAUACAUUUGGAACCCCCCAUAGCCCCCCCCCCCCUCCCCCCUUGAGGAACACACGCUUUGGGCUUUCACCCCAAGCCUCCCUUAGUAUCAGGAGUUAGUCUCUAGGAGAAGCUCGAAACUUACUAAAUAUGGAAUGUCCCUAGAUUGCGAAUUUGGACACGGGACGAACACCAUUGUGUUCAGGAUGAUCUCUACAUUCCGUAGAUAUGCCAAAUGAGCAAAUGUCUAUAUUUCAUGAUGUUGAGGAAGAGGAAAAACUCCAUAUUUGAUAAUGCUGAGGAGGAGGAAGACCUAGAGAAAAUCACAAGAAAGAACCGCAAGGAGAAAAGAGAGAGUGAGCAGCCAAGAUCAGAUCCUCCAGCUACAAUUAACCAAGAUAAACCAGUCCUUGAUCCCAAAAUAACUACCCUAGCUAAGCUGUCAUGCAAAAAGUGGAAACACAGCCCUACAACAUUCUUGAAGACUUGGACAGUCAACGCCUGAAUAUCACAUUCGCUCAACUCUCACUCAUGUGUAUAAAAUUUAUUUUUAUAUUCAUCCAGCAUUUGCUGGGCAAGUACUAAUUCAAUUAUAUUUCAAGAUGUAUGUUUGAAAAUUUGUAUCUAUAAAGAUUAUUUUGCAAGUCACAGAUCUCAAACAAAGUCCCCUUUUAAAGCUAAGGUUACCAAGAAGAAAACUGUAGAAGUGUAUGUUUCCUUGUAACUCAUGCCAUUUUUGCCCAAGCAAGGAGGCUGCCACCAUUGCAAACUACUUAUGGUGUUUGAGGAUGAGGACAAGAUUGUUUCCUAAGAUCCCAGGAAUCUCAAAGUUAAAGAAUAAAAGUGGGAAGCAAUUCCACAUCAGCAUCUGCAGUGUGUUGUGAGGUUGAGUCAUGUGCAUGUGAUUGUUUUGCAUUGUGAGGUUGCCAUUAGCAAGCAAAGAGCAACCGGGCUGUGUUAGCAAGAGAUCAGGGAAGCAUUGCACAUGUUAGAUAUACUAAGUUUGUUCAUUACACCCUUCUAAGGUAGUACAAGCUUGCAUAAAGCAGUAACACAACUCCUGCAAUCUAGGAUGUCUGCCAUUUCCUAGGAAAGAUCUUGUUCCAAGACUGUUUAUUGUUUGGUAGUUGCUCUGGCUGAUGGGCUGGGUGACAAAUAUUUGACUUAUUCCACACUGUGAACUGCCCAGACAAACAUCUGGGCAGUCUCAAAGGAUUACAAGAUUGUGACAGUGAUCCAAGUUCUCACUAUCCUUCCUAGAACCUUUCAUGUCUAUGAGCUCAAUGGACUUUGUCUAAACUUCAAAAGCUUAAGAGUUUGCUAAAGCAUUGUUUCAAACUCCUUGAUUCCAUGUGGAUUGUGGCAAGCAAUGUCAGAUCAAAAUUCAGGUGGAAUCACCCAUCCUCGCGGCAAGUCCAUGACCACGAUCGUAUACAGCAGUGCCAUCAUCACCAAAAGAGAGUCACCAAAGUCAGAGAAGGUGGAGGGGGGCAGCUCAUAAGGUUUUGGUUCGUCUUUGGAACACAUUAGGGCUCUGCUCAUAGGAGUUGCUCCCACAGCACAACUCGCAGCGCUACAGCAACAAGCACCACUAUUCCAAGUGUCACCUAGCAAGAUUACUUAAGAGCAAUUUGCAGACAUCCCUAGAUUGCAGGAGUUGUGUUGCUGCUUUAUGCAAGCUUGUACUACCUUAGAAGGGUGUAAUGAACAAACUUAGUAUAUCUAACAUGUGCAAUGCUUCCCUGAUCUCUUGCUAACACAGCCCGGUUGCUCUUUGCUUGCUAAUGGCAACCUCACAAUGCAAAACAAUCACAUGCACAUGACUCAACCUCACAACACACUGCAGAUGCUGAUGUGGAAUUGCUUCCCACUUUUAUUCUUUAACUUUGAGAUUCCUGGGAUCUUAGGAAACGAUCUUGUCCUCAUCCUCAAACACCAUAAGUAGUUUGCAAUGGUGGCAGCCUCCUUGCUUGGGCAAAAAUGGCAUGAGUUACAAGGAAAUAUACACUUCUACAGUUUUCUUCUUGGUAACCUUAGCUUUAAAAGGGGACUCUGUUUGAGAUCUGUGACUUGCAAAAUAAUCUUUAUAGAUACAAAUUUUCAAACAUACAUCUUGAAAUAUAAUUGAAUUAGUACUUGCCCAGCAAAUGCUGGAUGAAUAUAAAAAUAAAUUUUAUACACAUGAGUGAGAGUUGAGCGAAUGUGAUAUUCAGGCGUUGACUGUCCAAGUCUUCAAGAAUGUUGUAGGGCUGUGUUUCCACUUUUUGCAUGACAGCUUAGCUAGGGUAGUUAUUUUGGGAUCAAGGACUAGUUUAUCUUGGUUAAUUGUAGCUGGAGGAUCUGAUCUUGGCUGCUCACUCUCUCUUUUCUCCUUGCGGUUCUUUCUUGUGAUUUUCUCUAGGUCUUCCUCCUCCUCAGCAUUAUCAAAUACGGAGUUUUUCCUCCUCCUCAACAUCAUGAAAUAUAGAGUUCUCCAUAUGCUAAUGCUGUUGUGCCCAUGUCAUAACUCUAGACUUUGGUGUAGCUUGUUGGAUGAAAAUUGCAUUGCUUUUUGCAUGGCUUAAGCUUGUGCAGGCAAUUAUCCUACUUAUGCAAGCCUUGUGUCUAACAAAUUCCACAUAUAGGCUGGUACCUAAUUUGUUUCCUCGGAUGCUGGCUUGUAGCUCAUUGUUUGAACUAGAGGAGAAAAUGGGUGUUGAAAGAAAAUUAGUGCUCAAGCCGAAGAUGGUAGUGAUGACAGCAAGGUCUUGAUAGGAGAUUUCCUGGCUUGUAAAAAUAAUAUUCCUAGUGAUUAUUAGUUUGCCAACAAUAUUGGCACUUGUCUCAAUUCAUCACUGGUUGUGGACACUCAUUUGGGUAGUGUCCGUAAUUGUUGCAUCACACACUAGAUGUCUUUUUGCUAUUGCACAAACUACUUUGUGCCCCUUGGACCCAAUUCAAUUGCAAGUCACUGUAGUUGUUGCUAGAUUUGGACCUACACUCAUUAAAGCUUGCCAUUGUUGUUGUUGCUAGCAGCUAUAGUCCAUCAUCCCAAGGCCUAUUCUAAAUAUUGUUCCAAAUACUAACAAUGAGAUAAGGAGAGAGAACAUAUAGAGAGAAAGGAAGGAGUUGUACUAGCUGGUCUUUGCUAAACAUUUGCUACCUUAUGGCUGGAAUAUCUCCAUGUGCCAUUGUUAGUUAUUCUUAACCAACUCCAAAGCUUUCUACUAGCUACACACACACAUUUUAUAUUAUAACACAAUACAAUUGCAUUUUCUUGUCUUUUUUAGUUUCCUUAAGCAAAUUUGUAGAGGAACUGAGAUGGUAGUGAAUAUACCUAGAAUAUACUUGGAUAUUCUAGGAUAGUCUACCAUCUAGCAGUUAUAAUUCAUUUAGAGUAAUUUUGUGUUUAUAAAUUAUAAACUUUUAUUUGAUCAAUUGAAUUAAUAAGUAGGAAUAACAGUACUAUUAAGAAAACCAAGCGUUGCUACAUGAAACACAUAGAAAGCUUUUCUCGAAUAACUGAUAUUGAUGUAUUUACCUCGGUUUGAAGGUCAUAACUUUAGAGAUCCCAUUUACAGUGGCUGACAAAAGAAAGCAGCCUUUUGGAUAAGGAUUGUCUUUACAGAGUUUGAUGGCCAUAGAUAAAUUAGUUGAAGUAAACAUUUGAAGAAAGGUGAUGGCCAUCAAGCCAUAUACACAGUCAAUGAGAGCAUCAUCCAUUGUUACGUGCUGUGUUGUUGCUAUAAGUGGAUAUCAACCGGCCAUGUACACAUAUAACCAUGAAAAAAAGAUGCUCAUUGUUGCACUCAAUGCAGUGUCCAAUCUGCAAGUUAAUCCUAGAUAGCCAAAAUUUGUGGCAAACACACCAGCCCAAGGACACAAAGAUGUCUUGAGAGGCAAAAGGAAUUAAGCAUUCCUUUAUCUUAAAUGAAUAAAUAUAAGCCAUUGAACAAAUAAAUAUGACAUACAUACCCCAUCAAAGUUUCUUCGAUACAUAGACGUUAUGGAUUUCAAGUGGUCAUGAAUGGCAUUCCAUGGCGCUAGUCCAGGCGCAUUGUAAACUAUAGUUGGAGGUCCAAUCUUGGAAGCAUUAUGAUCACUUGAUCCUUCAAUGUUGUGAAAUAUUUUGAGUGGCAUUUGAUAUCCAAACCAUUUUGAUUUGACUUUAUCAUACACAAAAGACAUACAUGUUGCAAAUUGAACCUAAGUAUGGUAGUUAUUAUUAACAGCUGUAUUGAAAGCUCAAACAUACCUUGUAAAUAUACUCAAAGUCUUAAGCAUGUUUGUGCUCUGCUCAUUUAGGUCAACUGAGGAAGUAUGCUGCAGCAGUGCAAAAUGCUAAUGAUGUGGUUUCUAGCGUGAGAUCAUGCAAAAGAACCAAGUUGGAUAUAGGAAUUAUAUCAAGCAUAGGUGGCCUCAAUGGUGGGAACUCACAAACUAGGGAGGAAGCAAUAAUAUCAAUAGAAAAUCUAAAGGAAUAGACCACCAAACAUAUCAGCAAUAUGUUGAGAAAGAGAAGCUGUAGCAAUAUGAACACCACUAAUAUCAAUGAAGUCAACAUUGGGGGAGGUGGUAGAGUUAGUUCUCCGCAAGCUGUUGCAGAAGCCAUCAUAAGUUCCAUAGCAAGAUAGGGUGUAUAGUAGCAAUGGUGAGCUCCAGAUAGCAGCUGCAAGUUAGUAAUUUGAUCCACUAAGGAGUGGCCACUGGCUUUGAAAAUGCUACUUGUAAUAGAACACCAUAGAUUAUCUUGUGAUAUGUCACUAAUGUGACGCUUUGCUGUGUCAAAAAAUAGUAAGAAAAUAUCACCCAAAAUUUCUUUUUUACUUAGUGGUAGCAUUGAAUCAAAAGUUGAAGUGAAGUAAUCCACAUAUAGUUUUGUAAGAAUGUUGUAAGAAACCAUGUUAAGAGAAAACCAUGUAUCUGUUGAAAUAAAUGCCAUCACAGUGGUAGGUGUUGCAUGGUUGGCAUGAAAUAAACAUACCACUAAUGUCAAGUAUGCUAUUAGAACUUUUGCCAACUAAAAUGCAAAUUAAAAUAUCAUUUGAAAGAAAAAGUGUAGCAUACCACUAUUGUUAGGAGUGCCACUUGACUUUACGUUAAAUUUGAUUAAUGAAAAAAGCAAAAAAUGUCAGUAAUACAUGCUAGAAAUGUUGUGGUGCUUGGUGACAUUAGGUUUUGUUGCAACAUAGUUCACAACUGCGUCAUUAUUAUUCCCAAGCUUAGUGGUUGCUAUAGCAUUCUUAGAAUGUUAAAAGAAAAUUUUGGUUAUAAUGGAAACUAUACUUGGGUGUAAGUUCAAGAACUUGCUACAUACGUCAUCAAGAGUUUGAUCUGAUGAAUGGGACUUGCUAUUGUGAACCUCCUGAACCUACAAUGUGCUAGAAAUGUAGUCAACUGCAUCAUCACUUGAAGACAACAGACACAAAACAAAGAAGAACUUUUGGAAUGUUGAAAGCCUAAUAAACAUAUGGUAAAUAGGCCCAAUGCAUGUACUAAUAUUGACAUGUUGCAUAGAGGCAGACACUGCUGUUGCAGAAGAAUGAUCCGAACAAUCCAAAGAGUAGCAGUAGCAACACUACAGCCUAAUGCAUCUCCUUAGUGCACUCACCGAGAUUCUCACCAAAUUGGAGAAGCUGAACAAGCUGCUGCUUACUGUUGAAUCAAAGGGCAAUUGCUACACCAAGCAUAUAUAUUAAAAAAGACAUGUUGGAGCUGUACACGUGGAAAGCAAGGAAGCAAACUGUAAGGUUUUUUCUAUUAUGACUUUCCGAUUUAUGAUAAAUAUGGCGAUUCCAAUUUAUUAGAAAGAGUGUGAACCGUUUGUUCCUAGCUUAGUAAACCCCUAACCAUGCGCUUGCCAUGUUUGGGGACAACAUUACUGUUGCAAUUACUCUUAACCAAGCUUGUGCUGUUAAGAUUCAAGAAGCUGGCAAAUCACAUCAAGUCACAGUUACCCAAUGUCCAGGUCAACAGCCUUCUUGAUGGGCGGCCAGGCCUGAAUCGAGCUUCACCCUUGAGCAGCCCACUCCAUGGAUCUAGCUGCCAGUGAUGUCAUCCAUCUGGCAUGGCCACUCAUAGAAGUUGAUCUAUAAUAACCAUGACUUUAAAUUGAAAAAUAAAUAAUAUAAAAGAAAAUACAGUUGACCAUAUACCUUUUAGAAAAUUCUACAUUAUUCAUUACAAUAAAAAUACAUUAUUUAUUUAAAUCUCUUAUAAUAAUUUAUUUAAAUCUCUUAUAAAUAUGAAUAAACCGAGAAACGAUAUUGUAUUAUUGAAAUUAUGCUAGAUUAAACUGUAUACUAGUUUAAGAGAAACAACCAAAAAACUUUGGUAAAUAACGAAUAUACUAAUUUAAAUAUAGUUUAUCUCUGGUUUCUACUGCAUCUUUUGUGAAAUCUGUAAUUAAGGAACCAGAAUCCAGUUCUAAACGUGAAACGUUCAAGUUGGUAGGACCGAUAAAUUGCAUGGACCAGAUAACUGUAUGGAAAACGUGCACCGUAUAAAACGACAAGAUUUCUCUCCAAGUAUGUGGCUACGUGUGUAACGUACAGAAUACGGACCACACGGAAAUAAAAAACGUGAAAUGUGAUCUCUAAUAGCUCUGAUAGUAUAAAAGACCCUUCUCCAGCCUCUGUUUCCUCAACCCACAGAGGAGUAGAAAACAUUCUCCAAUCAAGUUGAUCAGAUCGAUCAAACAGUUUNNNNNNNNNNNNNNNNNNNNNNNNNNNNNNNNNNNNNNNNNNNNNNNNNNNNNNNNNNNNNNNNNNNNNNNNNNNNNNNNNNNNNNNNNNNNNNNNNNNNGCAAGAGAGAAGAGAGGGCACGAUUUCUAGCGUCGCUCCACCCCGUGAGAGACGCACACAAGAUCUUGUGGUACAUGUACUCGGUGGAAUUCCCCUUCCUCUCGCAAAAGGCGCUCGAGUUUGGCACAAUCCGCACGCUCGGCAUCCCGGGGAUCACAAAUUUGCUCUUCAAGACCAAGUACGGCCUCAAGGAUCCGCAGAAGCGCGCCGCCGAGACCAACAUUCUGGUGAGCGAGAUGAUCCACCACCACGUCGACAGCGAUCGCGGCUCAUACGCGGUGAGGAGAUUGAAUGGAAUCCACAACAAAUUCAAGAUCCCAAACGACCAAUUCGCCUACGUCCUCUGCCUCAACGUGGUCAGCCCCAUUGAUUUCUCCGAGAGAUUUGGAUUCCGCAAGUGGACCGACAACGAGAAGGAGGCCGCGUAUGUUGUGUGGCACGACGUGGGCGUGAGGAUGGGCAUCACAACCAUCCCAGAUAGCAUUCCAGAGAUGCGGGAGUACAUUCGCGAUUACGAGGCCAAGAACGCCAUCUUGACGGACAAGAACAAGAGCAUCGUCCAGGAUCUCAAGCAUCUGGUGCUGGAUGCAUUUCCUCGCCCCGUGCAGCCGCUGGUCGAGACUGGGAUCUGUGCACUCAUCGAUCCCACAAUCAGGAGCGCUGUUGGAUUGGAAAAGCCUCCAGCAAUUGUGGAGUGGAUCAUCUUGGGUGCAUUCAAGCUGCUGGCCGGGAGCUUCGUGUCCGCGUUCUUGCCUCCCAGACGUGUGGAGGAUGCAAAGGGCAGCAUUGAGGUGGACUGGUGUCCUAAUCCCGCUGCCAACCCGGAAGAGUACCGGCAGCUCAACGUGAAUGUGUAUCGGCCACCGGCAUUUGAGAAGGGAUACAAGCUGGCGGAGCUGGGAGCGCUGAAAUCAGGCAAGCUUGGACCAUACUACGAUGGAGGCUUGCGCUGCCCCUUCCGGCAAAUGCACGCAUAGAAAUAGAACGGGCAUAGGACAUUCGUUCGGAGAACAAAGCAUCAUUUGAAAAUGCGUAGUUUACGUGAAUCUUUUUGUAAUUUUUGCAGAACAAUAUGGGAUCCAAACAAUUUAGAAACACGCUCUGGCUAAAGACAAUGAUUCUAAGAUAUUGCAGGUUGUAGUUAGAAGUCUCAGUUGACACGCUCACUUUACACCUAAGAGAAGGAAAAGCUUGUCAAGCGGAAGGAACAAAGGUCAAAAGCUUACCUCCACGAGAAAACCUCACGUUAAUCCAUGGGGCCUCAGCACGGGGCAUGCCCACCAUCAGGUGCGAACUGCCAAACUUUCCUUGGAGUCCAGUGCCGCACUCGCUGGCCAAUCAGGAUACCCGAGUGCAACUUGAGCUCUCCCACUGAGAUGGCUGCAAAGCCGCUUUCAAAGCUCGGCAUCCCCCAUGCCUGUUCAAAGCAACAGACUCUAAACACACGAACAAAACUCACCUUGGCACCAUGCCUGUUCAAGGCAAAAGACUUUAAACACACGACAAAAACUCACCUUGGAGCAGUAGUACAACCAGCCAACAGGGUGCAGGAAUCGUAAGGUCCUUCGAUAACAAGGAUGCUCUCCAGGCUGCAAACUUAUCCCGAACCUCCUGCUUGGUGAAGGCCUCUUCCGAUAUCGGCUCUCUGGGUGAGUCAGGGAACGGAUGCAGAGAAGCUUCAACCAGCUGGUUUCCCUUAACCUGCACAUAUCCAUUGAUCUCAUAAAUGGCAUAUCGCCAUUCUCUCAUGUCCAUGGCAUACAGAAAACAAACAGAAAUUGAUUUCAAAACACGAAACUAGAAACUGGUACAUGGUCUUGCUUGCUUCCCUAAGCUGGCAGUGAUCCACGUACAUGAAAACCUGUACCAGAUCUUAACGCAGAUUUCAGAUACUAACCAGCUUUACGUAGCAGAUCGCAGUGCUUCACAUCAAUUCCCAAUCUUAGUGUACGCACAUCCAGGAUCGGAAUGCCAAUCAAGCCCUCCUCAGAGGAGGUGACAUCGUUAGUAGGUUGAUCAACGCCAUCAUGUGGAAACUCCAGGUCCAGAAAAACGGCCUCCUCAUCCUGUGCCUCCUCAUCCUCCUCCAACUCUAAGCCCAUUUCUAACUGGAACUGCCGCCACUCUGGUUCUUGCUCAUCGUGCUUACAGUCUGCCUUGUACAGCAUGAAAAGGGCAAAUGAACACAAGAGCCUAGAGAAAAUGCUUGCCGGCCCUUGUCUUGGAAAACCAAUGUGGCGUACACAUCUUUAACCUCCAACUACACGCACGGCGCUCUCCCUUCCUGGAAACAUCUUUCGAUUAUACCUGGAAUGUCGAGAAACUUAGACACAAGACGAGGUCAAGAAUCCUUACCGAUCAUAGGGAGGCGUGGCAUCUGGGAUCUGUUCGAUCAGCCCGUACCUCUUCUUAAAUUCCUCUUCAGUAAUCUUGCUAGGUGACACUUGGAAUAGUGGUGCUUCUUGCUGUAGCGCUGCAAGUUGUGCUGUGGGAGCAACGCCUUGAGCAGAGCCCUAAUGUGUUCCAAAGACGAACACAAACCUGCAUCCCUCUGUUUCUUAUGAGCUGCCCCCCUCCACCUCUUUUGACUUUGGUGACUCUCUUUUGGUGAUGACGGCAUUGCUGUAUAUGAUCACGGUCACGGACUUGCCCCGAGGAUGGGUGAUUCCACCUUGAUUUUCAAUCUGACAUUGCUUGCCACAAUCUACAUGGAAUCAAGGAGUUUGAAACAAUGCUUUAGCAAACUCUUAAGCUUUUGAAGUUUAGACAAAGUCCAUUGAGCUCAAAGAACCUAGACAUGAAAGGUUCUGGGAAGGAUAGUGAGAACUUGGAUCACUGUCACAAUCUUGGAAUCCUUUGAGACUGCCCAGAUGUUCGUCUGGGCAGCUCACAGUGUGGAAUGAGUCAAAUAUUUGUCACCCAGCCCAUCAGCCAGAGCAACUACCAAACAACAAAAAGACUUGGAACAAGAUUUUUACUUGCUAAUGGCAGCCUCACAAUGCAAAAUAAGCACAUGCACAUGACUCAACCUCACAGCACACUGCAGAUGCUGAUGUGGAAUUGCUUCCCACUUUUAUUCUUUAACUUUGAGAUUCCUGGGAUCUUAGGAAACGAUCUUGUCCUCAUCCUCAAACACCAUAAGUAGUUUGCAAUGGUGGCAACCUCCUUGCUUGGGCAAAAAUGGCAUGAGUUACAAGGAAACAAACACUUCUACAGUUUUCUUCUUGGUAACCUUAGCUUUAAAAGGGGACUCUAUUUGAGAUCUGUGACUUGCAAAAUAAUCUUUAUAGCUACAAAUUUUCAAACAUACAUCUUGCAAUAUAAUUGAAUUAGUACUUGCCCAGCAAAUGCUGGAUGAAUGUAAAAAUAAAUUUAUACACGUGAGUGAGAGCUGAGUGAAUGUGAUAUUCAGGCAUUGACUAUCCAAGUCUUGAAGAAUGUUGUAGGGCUGUGUUUCCACUUUUUGCGUGACAGCUUAGCCAAGGUAGUUAUUUUGGCAUUAGAGACUGGUUUAUCUUGGUUAAUUGUAGUGGGAGGAUCUGAUCUUGGCUGCUCACUCUCUCUUUUCUCCUUGCGGUUUUUUCUUGCAAUUUUCUCUAGGUCUUCCUCCUCCUCAGCAUCAUCAAGUAUAGAAUUCUUCCUCCUCCUCAACAUCAUGAAAUACAGAGUUCUCCAUAUGCUAAUGCUGUUGUGCCCAUGUCAUAACUCUAGAUUUUGGUGCAGCUUGUUGGAUGAAAAUUGCAUUGCUUUCUGCUUGGCUUAAGCUUGUGCAGGCAAUUGUCCUGCUUAUGCAAGCCUUGUGUCUGACAAAUUCCACAUAUAGGUUGGUACUGUUUCCUCAUAUGCUAGCUUGUAGCUCAUUAUCUGAAUUGGAGGAGAAAAUGGGUGUUGAAAGAAAACUGGUGCUCAAGCCAAAGAUGGCAGUGAUGACGGCAAGGUCUUGAUGUAACUUGCAGGAGAUUUCCUGGCUUGUAAAAAUAAUCUUCCUAGUGAUGAUUAGUUUGCCAACAAUAGUGGCACUUGUCUCAAUUCAUCACUAGUUGUGAACACUCAUUUGGGUAGUGUUCAUAAUUGUUGCAUCACACACACUAGAUGUCUUUUUGCUACUGUAUGGCCUACUUUGUGCCCCUCGGACCCAAUUCAAUUGCAAGUCAUUGUAGUUGUUGGAUCUGGACCUACACUCAUUAAAGCUUGCUAUUGUUGUUGUUGCUAGCAGCUAUAGUCCAUCAUCCUAAGGCAUAUUCCAAAUAUUGUUCCAAAUACUAACAAUGAGACAAGGAGAGAGAACACAUAGAGAGAAAGGAAGGAGUUGUACUAGCUGGUCUUUGUUACACAUUUGCUACCUUAUGGCUGGAAUAUCUCUAUGUGCCAUUGUUAGUUACUGUUGACCAACUCCAAAGCUUUCUACUAGCUACACACACACAUUUUAUGUUAUUAGUUGCAUUUUUUUGUCUGUUUUUGGUUUCCUUAAGCAAAUUUGUAGAGGAAUUGGGAUGGUAGUGGAUUAUAUUUAUUAUUUAUAAACAUGUUUAUAUAUAAACUUGCUUAAACACUUUCUACUAUACUAUUUUUUAUUCUACCAUCUAAUGGUUGAUAUGAAAUAAGAUUAAUCUUGUGUUUAUAAAAUAUAAACUUUUAUUUGAUCAAUUGAAUUAAUAAGUAGGAAUAACAGUACUAUUAAGAAAACCAAGAAACAUAUAGAAAACAUAUAGAAACAUAUAGAAACAUGAAACAUAUAGAAAGUUUUUCUCGAAUAACUGAUAUUGAUGUAUUUACCUCAGUUUGAAGGCCAUAGUUUUAGAGAUCCCAUUUACAGUGGCUGACAAAAGAAAGCCACCUUCUGGAUAAGGAUUGUCUUUACAGAGUUUGAUGGCCAUAGAUAAAUCAGUUGAAGUAAACAUUUGAAGAAAGGUGAUGGCCAUCAAUCCAUAUGCACGGUCAAUGAGAGCAUCAUCCAUUGUUACGUGCUGUGUUGAGUUGCUAUAAGUGGAUAUCAACCAGCCAUGUACACAUAUAACCCUGAAAAAAGGAUGGUUAUUGUUGCACUCAAUGCAGUGUCCAAUCUGCAAGUUAAUCCUAGAUAGCCAAAAUUUGUGGCAAAAACACUAGCCCAAGGACAUAGAGAUGUCUUGAGAGGAAAAAGGAAUUAAGCAUCCCUUUAUCUUAAAUGAAUAAAUAUAAGCCAUUGAACAAAUAAAUAUGACAUACAUACCCCAUCAAAGUCUCUUCGAUACAUAGAAGUUAUGGAUUUCAAGUGGUCAUGAAUUGCAUUCAAUGGUGCUAGCCCAGGCACAUUGUAAACUAUAGUUGGAGGUCCAAUCUAAGAAGCAUUAUGAUCACUUGUUCCUUUGAUGUUGUGAAAUAUUUUGAGUGGCAUUUGACAUCCAAACCAUUUUGAUUUGACUUUAUCAUACACGAAAGACAUACAUGCUUUGCUACAUACGUCGUCAAGAGUUUGAUCUGAUGAAUGAGACUUGCUAUUGUGAACCUCCUAAACCUGUGAUGUGUUAGAAAUGUAGCCAACUACAUCAUCACUUGAAGACGACAGACAAAAACAAAAAAGAACUUUUGGAAUGUUGAAAGCCUAAGAAACAUGCCCAAUGCAUGUACUAAUAUUGACACGUUGCAUGGAGGAAGCCACUGCUGUUGCAGAAGAAUGAUUCGAACAAUCCAAAGAGUAGCAGCAGCAACACUGCAGCCUGAUGCAUCUCCUUAGUGCACUCACCCAGAUUCUCACCAAAUUGGAGAAGCCGAACAAGCUGCUGCAAUUGCUACACCAAGCAUAUAUAUUAAAAAAGAGAUGUUGGAGCUGUCAACGUGGAAAGCAAGGAAGCAAAUUGUAAGGUUUUUUCUAUUAUGACUUUCCAAUUUAUGAUAAGAUAUGGCAAUUCCAAUUUAUUAGAAAGAGUGUGAACCGUUUGUUCCUAGCUUAGUAAACCCCUAACCAUGCGCUUGCCAUGUUUGGGGACAACAUUAUUGUUGCAAUUACUCUUAACCAAGCUUGUGCUGUUAAGCUUCAAGAGCUUCAAGAGUGGUAGUAAGAAGCUGCCAAAUCACAUCAAGUCACAGUUACCCAAUGUCCAGGUCAACAGCCUCCUUGAUGGGCGCUCGAGCAGCCCACUCCAUGGAUCUAGCUGCCAGUGAUGUCAUCCAUCCGGCAUGGCUGCUCCAAGAGCUUUACACCAAAUGCAUAGAAGUUGAUCUAUAAUAACCAUGACUUUAAAUUGAAAAAUAAAUAAUAUAAAAGAAAAUAAACUUGACCAUAUACCUUUUAGAAAAUUCUAGAUUAUUCAUUACAAUAAAAAUAGAUUAUUUAUUUAAAUCUCUUAUAAAUAUGAAUAAACCGAGAAACCAUAUUGUAUUAUAUGGUUAGUUUAAGAGAGACAACGGUAAAUAAUGAAUAUACUAAUUUAAAUAUAGUUUAUCUCUGGCAUCUUUUGUGAAAUCUGUAAUUAAGGAACCAGAAUCCAGUUCUAAACGUGAAACGUUCAAGUUGGUAGGACCGAUAAAUUGCAUGGACCAGAUAACUGUAUGGAAAACGUGCAGCGUAUAAAACAACAAGAUUUCUCUCCAAGUAUGUGGCUAUGUGUGUAACGUACAGAAUACGGAUCACACGGAAAUAAAAAACGUGAAAUGUGAUCUCUAAUAGCUCUGAUAGUAUAAAAGACCCCUCUCCAGCCUCUGUUUCCUCAACCCACAGAGGAGUAGAAAACAUUCUCCAAUCAAGUUGAUCAGAUCGAUCAAACAGUUUUCACCAUUUCGAAAUGGCUGCAAUCGUGUUGAUGAUUGCGUUUCUUGUGAUGGCUGCAGCAUGGAAGAUGGUGUGUAUCCGCAAGAGAGAAGAGAGGGCACGAUUUCUAGCGUCGCUCCACCCCGUGAGAGACGCACACAAGAUCUUGUGGUACAUGUACUCGGUGGAAUUCCCCUUCCUCUCGCAAAAGGCGCUCGAGUUUGGCACAAUCCGUACGCUCGGCAUCCCGGGGAUCACAAAUCUGCUCUUCAAGACCAAGUACGGCCUCAAGGAUCCGCAGAAGCGCGCCGCCGAGACCAACAUUCUGGUGAGCGAGAUGAUCCACCACCACGUCGACAGUGAUCGCGGCUCAUACGCGGUGAGGAGAUUGAAUGGAAUCCACAACAAAUUCAAAAUCCCAAACGACCAAUUCGCCUACGUCCUCUGCCUCAACGUGGUCAGCCCCAUUGAUUUCUCCGAGAGAUUUGGAUUCCGCAAGUGGACCGACAACGAGAAGGAGGCCGCGUAUGUUGUGUGGCACGACGUGGGCGUGAGGAUGGGCAUCACAACAAUCCCAGAUAGCAUUCCAGAGAUGCGGGAGUACAUUCGCGAUUACGAGGCCAAGAACGCCAUCUUGACGGACAAGAACAAGAGCAUCGUCCAGGAUCUCAAGCAUCUGGUGCUGGAUGCAUUUCCUCGCCCCGUGCAGCCGCUGGUCGAGACUGGGAUCUGUGCACUCAUCGAUCCCACAAUCAGGAGCGCUGUUGGAUUGGAAAAGCCUCCAGCAAUUGUGGAGUGGAUCAUCUUGGGUGCGUUCAAGCUGCUGGCCGGGAGCUUCGUGUCCGCGUUCUUGCCUCCCAGACGUGUGGAGGAUGCAAAGGGCAGCAUUGAGGUGGACUGGUGUCCUAAUCCCGCUGCCAAUCCGGAAGAGUACCGGCAGCUCAACGUGAAUGUGUAUCGGCCACCGGCAUUUGAGAAGGGAUACAAGCUGGCGGAGCUGGGAGCGCUGAAAUCAGGCAAGCUUGGACCAUACUACGAUGGAGGCUUGCGCUGCCCCUUCCGGCAAAUGCACGCAUAGAAAUAGAACGGGCAUAGGACAUUCGUUCGGAGAACAAAGCAUCAUUUGAAAAUGCGUAGUUUACGUGAAUCUUUUUGUAAUUUUUGCAGAACAAUAUGGGAUCCAAACAAUUUAGAAACACGCUCUGGCUAAAGACAAUGAUUCUAAGAUAUUACAGGUUGUAGUUAGAAGUCUAAGUUGACACGCUCACUUUACACCGGGAUGCCGAGCUUUGAAGGCGGCUUUGCAGCCAUCUCAGUGGGAGAGCUCAAGUUGUACUCGGGUAUCCUGAUUGGCCAGCGAGUGCGGCGCUGGACUCCAAGGAAAGUUUGGCAGUUCGCACCUGAUGGUGGGCAUGCCCCGUGCUGAGGCCCCAUGGAUUAACGUGAGGUUUAAUCGUGGAGGUAAGCUUUUGACCUUUGUUCCUUCCGCUUGAAGCCCAUGCCUGUUCAAGGCAACAGACUCUAAACACACGAACAAAACUCACCUUGGCAAGGUGAGUUUACAAGCUCAGCUAAGUAUCCUUCCAAGAACCUUUCAUGUCUAGGUUCUUCAAGCUCGAUGGAGCAUGAAGGCACUUUAUCUAAACUUCCAAAGCUUAAGAGUUCGCUAAAGCAUUGUUUCAAACUGCUUGAUUCCAGGUAGAUUGCGGCGAGCAACGUCAGAUCGAAAAUUGAGGAGUCGAGGUGGAAUCACCCGUCCUCGGGGCAAGUGCGUGACCUCGAUCAUAUACAGCACUGCCGUCAUCACCAAAAGAGAGGCACCAAGGUCAGAAGUGGUGGAGGGGGGCAGCUCAUAAGAAACAGAGGGAUGCAGGUUUUGGUUCGUCUUGGAACGCAUUAGGGGCUCUGCUCAAGGAGUUGCUCCCACUCCCACAACGAUUCCGUGACCAACUCGCAGCCCUACAGCAAGAAGCACCACUAUUCCAGGUACGGGCUGAUCGAACAGAUCCCAGAUGCCAAGCAUCCCUAUGAUCGGUAAGGAUUCUCGACCUCGUCUUGUGUCUAAGUUUCUCGACAUUCCAGGUUUAAUCGAAAGAUGUUUCCAGGAAGGGAGAGCGCUGUGCGUGUAGUUGGAGGCUGCGUCCUUAAAGAUGUGUACACAUCGGCUCGCCACAUUGGUUUUCCAAGACAAGGCCUGGCAAGCAUUUUCUCUAGGCUCUUGUGUUCGUUUGCCCUUUUCAUGCGGUACAAGGCAGAGUGUAAGCACGAUGAGCAGGAACCAGAGUGGGGGGGAGUUCCUAACUCUGGUUACCUACUAACGACGUCACCUCCUCUGAGGAGGAACAGGCCGAGCUUGAUUGGCAUUCAGG